UUACCUGGCAGAAUAAGUCUAUUAUAGAAACAUGGGACAUCGAUUCUUGCUUCUCUUCGUGGUGGUGGCAACCAUUCUGCUGUCAAUGGGAGUGGAGGCAGACCGAUUUAAUAUUCCCAAGUUAGACAAAAAACGGAAGUCACUUGGUCGUUAGACAACCACGACAUCCACAACCACAGUCGCUCCGUAAAUCGACUUGGCCGAUGUGACAACAGAAGACGGCACAAUCGCGCUUGUUUGGUGCGCUACUGCAACACAUCAUUGAUAUGGAGACUUCUUCACACAGACUGCACUCUAAAUGGAGCACUGAUCUUCCAAUUUCUUGCAUUGUUAUGUACAUUUAAUAUCACUGAUAAAGAACUUCACAGG